UACAUGGGGUGCAAACGUUGCUCGGAAUUACUGGGCGUAAAGGGCGCGUAGGCGGCCUUCUAAGUCGAACGUGAAAUCCCCGGGCUCAACCCGGGAACUGCGUCCGAUACUGGUGGGCUUGAAUCCGGGAGAGGGAUGCGGAAUUCCAGGUGUAGCGGUGAAAUGCGUAGAUAUCUGGAGAAACACCGGUGGCGAAGGCGGCAUCCUGGACCGGCAUUGACGCUGAGGCGCGAAAGCCAGGGGAGCAAACGGG
rnacentral:rRNA from 1 species